rnacentral:rRNA from 1 species
UACGUAGGCGGAAUAUUAAGUCAGUGGUGAAAUCCUGCGGCUCAACCGUAGAACUGCCAUUGAUACUGAUAUUCUUGAAUGUAGUUGAGGUAGGCGGAAUGUGUAAUGUAGCGGUGAAAUGCUUAGAUAUUACACAGAACACCGAUUGCGAAGGCAGCUUACUAAACUAUGAUUGACGCUGAUGCACGAAAGCGUGGGGAGCGAACAGGAUUAGAUACCCUGGUAGUCC